rnacentral:rRNA from 1 species
GACAAUUAUUUAUAGCCUCUGGCUAUAGGAAAUUGUUAGUGGCAGACGGGUGAGUAAUGCGUAGGAAUCUACCUAGUAGUACGGAAUAGCCAUUAGAAAUGGUGGGUAAUUACUGUAUAAUCCCCGAGGGGGAAAGAUUUAUCGCUAUUAGAUGAGCCUACGUUAGAUUAGCUAGUUGGUGAGGUAAUGGCUUACCAAGGCUAUGAUCUAUAGCUGGUCUGAGAGGACGAUCAGCCACACUGGAACUGAGAUACGGUCCAGACUCCUACGGGAGGCAGCAGUGGGGAAUAUUGGACAAUGGGCGAAAGCCUGAUCCAGCUAUGCCGCGUGAGUGAAGAAGGCCUUCGGGUUGUAAAACUCUUUCAAUAGGGAAGAUAAUGACGGUACCUAUAA